CCAGCUUAGAAAGAAGGCAAUGCAUCAGAAACUUCUGUGGUCUUCACGCUCCCUUACCAAGUGUAGGUGUGUGGUAAAUUGGUCCCAAUCAUGCUAAACCAAAAAGCACCGGAGGAAAAAGAAACAUAGCUCUUCAUGGAUGAAGCGCUCCCUGGUUUCCCAGCAAGCCAGUUAUUGUGAAAAGCUGUUCCUGUGUUUGCAGCCCCCUCACAUCCAGGAAUGACAACAGUCAGACUUUUGGAUGCUAAAUGACAGGAUAUAGCAAAAUGAUGGACUGGCCUUCUUUACUGAGAAACACUGGUGACAGAU